AAGGAACACACUUUCAGCCCAGGACUUAGUUUUCACAAACAGAACUCGGCUCACAAUCCUGUCGUACAAAAAUCCCCAUCUCCACCACCACCACUCAAAAAACGUUUCUUCAUCUUAGUAGCCUAAUUUAGGAAGAAUUGUUGUUGUUAAACAAUUGGGAGUUGGGAACCCUUGGUGAUCUACUGCAAAGUGCCCAGAGAUCUCAAUCUGGCUUCUGCCGACUCCUGCUCUAACGGACCAGCCUUCACUGUAAACAUUUGCAGAUGUGUGCAGGUAAGGCGUGGAAAACAACAGGGCAAGCAAGACUAGACUUAUCCCAAGACAAAAUCAGUUCAGACCCCAGAGGCCAACACCCGCAUCCCUGCCCAGGUCUCUAGCACGCAUCUUUCCAAGCUUGUGUAUCCAGAUUCGAAAAAGAUAGGCUAUUUCUCCCAGAAAAAAUACUCCCUUUUUACAAAAAAAUUAUUACAAUAGCCACUUUCCAAUCCUCAGCUGUGGAGGCUAAUCUUAAAGAGGCAAUUUUCACAUUUGAGCUGUUUUAAGAACUCUCAGGUGGAUAACAUCUGAACCCAGCAAUUUGUUUGUUAUCAUUUGUCAAUAAGGCCUAGAACUUUGUCUCUUGUCACAACUGUUUGUCUCAGUUCCCUUGCCUGAGACAGUUAGUUCAGGCCCUGGGUGGGUCUGCCUGAGGUGGCCCAUCGCAUUUCGCCACGUGAGGCAAAACGGGAAUUGCCACCUCCUGUCCACCACGGCGCCCCAGUUCUCGCUGAACUCGGCUGGAGCCAGGGUGCUCCUCAAAGCGCUGCCGCUCAGCUCCUCUGCCCAGGGAAGAGGAAUGAGUGGCAACGCUGGACCCCAAAAUGCCCCCCUCUUGGUGGUGUAAAUGGGUGUGCAGAGUGUCACCUCUUGCAGUGGGUAGGCCGUCUCUGGGUCCUGCCCUCAGGGCCGGAUUUAGGUUUGAUGAGGCCCUAAGCUACUGAAGGUAAUGGGGCCCUUUAUAUUUUCAGCUGUCCUUUGUCAACAACAAAUUGCUGUUUUUGUGUGUUGAAUAUAUGCUAUAUGGUAACUUAUGGACCUAAUAGGUAUCUAAAGCCGUUUGCACAUGUUGCCAUGCAACCAGUUCAUGCAGAAUGUAGGCACCCUAUAUAAAGAAAUGAGCAAACCAGUGAUAUUUUAGGGAGCAGGCUAGCAGGCGGGGCCCAUGACUUACAUCCUAGGAGCCUACACAACAUAAAACACUGUUGCUGUAUGUAGGCUUUAGUUUAUUUGUUUUUUUUUUAUCUUAUAUUUUGGGAAUAUACAUCCAGUUCUGUUUUCCUUUAAUUUUUUUGGGGGGGCACCAAGAGAGUAGGGCCCUAAGGCAUAGCUUGUUUAGCUUAUAUGUAAAUCCGGCACUGCCUGCCCUUAUUUGUUUGUUUGUUUGUUUUCCAUACUGCCCUGCACCCGGGCCUCACAGGGCAGUUUACAGUAUAAAAACUCAACAAUACGUACCAUAGUAACAAACCAAAGCCAACAACAUCUUCUGCAGUCUCUGCUACGAUGCAGCUGCACUUGGAAUACUGUUUACAGUUCUGGUUGUUGCACCUCAGAAAAGCAUAUCCAAGAGCUAGGGGAAAGGUUCAGAUAGGAUGUUGCUAGGAAAAGUUCAGAAAAGGGCAAACGGAUAAUAUUAAGGGGUAGCUAUGUUAGUCUUUUGCAGCGGCAGAAACCUCAGUCUGAUGGCAUCCUGAAGACCAACAAAUUAAUCGCAGCCUAAGCUUUUAAUGGACCCGAGCCCAGUUUGUCAGAUGUGAAAUCUUAGCCGGCAGGUAUACAACAGAGAAAAUUGUAAUGUGGGAGAUGAAUGGCAAUGAGAUGCAAAAAUUACAGUCAGUGAUAGAGCUCAAAUGUAUAUUAAACAGACAUAACUUUUACAGCAGCAGACUGCUGAUAAUUUACUCAGCAUUGAUGAUGAUGAUG
rnacentral:lncRNA from 1 species